GAUGAACGCUGGCGGCGUGCCUAAUACAUGCCAGUCGAGCGAACGGACGAGAAGCUUGCUUCUCUGAUGUUAGCGGCGGACGGGUGAGUAACACGUGGAUAACCUACCUAUAAGACUGGGAUAACUUCGGGAAACCGGAGCUAAUACCGGAUAAUAUUUUGAACCGCAUGGUUCAAAAGUGAAAGACGGUCUUGCUGUCACUUAUAGAUGGAUCCGCGCUGCAUUAGCUAGUUGGUAAGGUAACGGCUUACCAAGGCAACGAUGCAUAGCCGACCUGAGAGGGUGAUCGGCCACACUGGACCUGAGACCCGGUCCAGACUCCUACGGGCGGCAGCAGUAGGGAAUCUUCCGCAAUGGGCGAAAGCCUGACGGAGCAACGCCGCGUGAGUGAUGAAGGUCUUCGGAUCGUAAAACUCUGUUAUUAGGGAAGAACAUAUGUGUAAGUAACUGUGCACAUCUUGACGGUACCUAAUCAGAAAGCCACGGCUAACUACGU
rnacentral:rRNA from 1 species